AGUGAACGCUGGCGGCGUGCCUAAUACAUGCAAGUCGAACGGAGUGGCGCACGGGUGAGUAAUGUAUAGCUAAUCUGCCCUACACUAGAGGACAACAGUUGGAAACGACUGCUAAUACUCUAUAGUGUAGGAUGAGGCUAUAUUGUAUCAGCUAGUUGGUGAGGUAAUGGCUCACCAAGGCUAUGACGCAUAACUGGUCUGAGAGGAUGAUCAUUCACACUGGAACUGAGCCACAGUCCGGACUCCUACGGGAGGCAGCGGUAGGUGAUAUUGCUCAAUGGGGGGAGCCCUGAAGCAUCUACGCCGCGUGAAGGAUGUCAUUUUUCGGGGCGUAAACUCCUUUUGUUAAGGAAACGGUACCUAACGAAUAAGCACCGGCUAACUCCGUGCCAGCAGCCGCGGUAAUUC
rnacentral:rRNA from 1 species